GAUGAACGCUGGCGGCGUGCCUAAUACAUGCAAGUCGAGCGAACAGACGAGGAGCUUGCUCCUCUGACGUUAGCGGCGGACGGGUGAGUAACACGUGGAUAACCUACCUAUAAGACUGGGAUAACUUCGGGAAACCGGAGCUAAUACCGGAUAAUAUAUUGAACCGCAUGGUGCAAUAGUUAAAGACGGUUUUGCUGUCACUUAUAGAUGGAUCCGCGCCGCAUUAGCUAGUUGGUAAGGUAACGGCUUACCAAGGCAACGAUGCGUAGCCGACCUGAGAGGGUGAUCGGCCACACUGGAACUGAGACACGGUCCAGACUCCUACGGGAGGCAGCAGUAGGGAAUCUUCCGCAAUGGGCGAAAGCCUGACGGAGCAACGCCGCGUGAGUGAUGAAGGUCUUCGGAUCGUAAAACUCUGUUAUUAGGGAAGAACAAAUGUGUAAGUAACUAUGCACGUCUUGACGGUACCUAAUCAGAAAGCCACGGCUAACUACGUG
rnacentral:rRNA from 1 species